AGCAACCAAGCCCAUCAGAGUUGGCUCUUGGCCUUGAAAGGGGUCUUUCCCUUAGUCAACAUUUUCAUUCUUCAGCAUUUCAGUCUCUCUAGAAACUCCAUAACCAAACCCUAACUCUUCUCCAUCUUCUCUCUUCUUUUUCAGAAAUUUAAACCGUACAAAACUUUAAUUGGUGCCUUCAACUCGUUUCUGGUGUCGAGAGCUUCAGUUUGAGCCUACCAUAUCUCCAUUUCACUUGUGAUUUAUAGGUCCGGUUUUGUUCAGCACAGUGUAAGGAUUUCCUUAGGAGCGUUCUCUGAUUUGUUAAAAACUGGGGGCUUUCCAGAGGAGAAUGAGGUCUCAGUGGAAAACGCCCUGGAGGAGAACGAAGACACUGUAGCUGCCUAGAUCUUUAGGAAUUUUCUUAUGCCCUUUUAAAUCUUCUGUAUUUUGAGAUACUAAGAAUUUCCACGUUUUAAUUUCCUCUAAAUUUCCUGGAUUACUAUAAUCCUAAUUUAACUAAUUAAACACUC